rnacentral:rRNA from 1 species
UGCGCAGGUGGGCUUGUAAGUCAGUGGUGAAAUACUGCCGCUUAACGGUAGAACUGCCAUUGAUACUGCAAGUCUUGAAUAUGGUUGAGGUAGGCGGAAUGUGUCGUGUAGCGGUGAAAUGCAUAGAUAUGACACAGAACGCCGAUUGCGAAGGCAGCUUACUACGCCAUUAUUGACGCUGAGGCACGAAAGCGUGGGGAGCGAACAGGAUUAGAUACCCUGGUAGUCC